AUGGCUCGCAAGCGCCGCCGCGCGGACCAGAGCACGCCGGCGCCACCUCCGCCCCUCCGGACUAAAUCGUCUCAGCGGAAACCCGUGGUCGUCUUCGCCCACGGCGCCGGCGCCCCCUCCUCCUCUGAUUGGAUGACCUGCUGGAAGGAGAUGGUGAAAGAAGCCCUGGAUGCCGUUGAAGCAGUGACAUUUGACUAUCCAUAUAUGUCGGGUGGUAAGCGGAGGCCUCCCCCAAAGGCGGACAAGCUCGUCGAUCAUCAUCUCAGUGUGGUGAAGAAUGCUGUAGCAGAGCAUCCUGGUCACCCGCUUGUUCUUAUGGGGAAGUCUAUGGGUUCGAGGGUCAGCUGCAUGGUAGCUAGCUCCGAUGAUAUCAGUGUUUCUGCAGUCAUUUGCUUGGGUUAUCCAUUGAAGGGAGCGAAAGGGGCACUGAGGGACGAGAUACUACUAAAGCUGAUGGUUCCAACAAUGUUUGUGCAGGGCAACAAAGAUGGCCUAUGCCCCUUGGACAAGCUUGAGUUAACUCGGAAGAAGAUGACCUGCAAGAAUGAACUGCAUGUUGUUGAUGGUGGUGACCACUCUUUCAAAGUCAGCCAAAAAUACCAAAAAUCUGCUGGAAUAAGUCAACAUGAUGUUGAAUUAGAAGCUGUUAAAGCAAUUGCACAGUUCGUCCAGAAGUCCAUCGCAGAAAGCUUAACCUAG
rnacentral:rRNA from 1 species